UUGGAAUCAAUUUCCUGGGUCACUUUUCU
rnacentral:piRNA from 1 species